rnacentral:rRNA from 1 species
CCUACGGGAGGCAGCAGUAGGGAAUCUUCCACAAUGGGCGCAAGCCUGAUGGAGCAACGCCGCGUGUGUGAUGAAGGCUUUCGGGUCGUAAAGCACUGUUAUAUGGGAAGAACGGGUUUAAGAGGAAAUGCUUAAACAGUGACGGUACCAUACUAGAAAGGGACGGCUAAAUACGUGCCAGCAGCCGCGGUAAUACGUAUGUCCCGAGCGUUAUCCGGAUUUAUUGGGCGUAAAGCGAGCGCAGACGGUUGCUUAAGUCUGAAGUGAAAGCCCACAGCUCAACUGUGGAAUGGCUUUGGAAACUGGGCAACUUGAGUGCAGUAGAGGUAAGUGGAACUCCAUGUGUAGCGGUGGAAUGCGUAGAUAUAUGGAAGAACACCAGUGGCGAAGGCGGCUUGCUGGACUGCAACUGACGUUGAGGCUCGAAAGUGGGGGUAGCAAACAGGAUUAGAUACCCCAGUAGUC